UGAGGAAUAUUGGUCAAUGGACGGAAGUCUGAACCAGCCAAGUAGCGUGUAGGAUGACGGCCCUAUGGGUUGUAAACUGCUUUUGUAUGGGGAUAAAGUUAGGGACGUGUCCCUAUUUGCAGGUACCAUACGAACAAGGACCGGCUAAUUCCGUGCCAGCAGCCGCGGUAAUACGGAAGGUCCAGGCGUUAUCCGGAUUUAUUGGGUUUAAAGGGAGCGUAGGCUGGAGAUUAAGUGUGUUGUGAAAUGUAGACGCUCAACGUCUGAAUUGCAGCGCAUACUGGUUUCCUUGAGUACGCACAACGUUGGCGGAAUUCGUCGUGUAGCGGUGAAAUGCUUAGAUAUGACGAAGAACUCCGAUUGCGAAGGCAGCUGACGGGAGCGCAACAGACGCUUAAGCCCGAAGGUGCGGGUAUCAAACAGG
rnacentral:rRNA from 1 species